rnacentral:sRNA from 1 species
GUCUGGGUUAUGCUAUUUGGAACUGUCAUUGAUGGUGAGAUAGAGAUGAUGGAAGAAAACCCAAAUAUACCAGAAAUGGGUAGUACACCUCCAUUGUCUAUUUAUAUUUUAUUCUCAUCAAGAUUUCCACCAAGGUGACUCACACCACUAAUCUUAUCACUUUGGGGGGCCGAGGUGGGAGGAUUGCUUGAGGCCAAGAGUUCGAGACAAGCCUGGGCAACAUAGCGAGAUUCUGUCUCUACAGAAUUUUUUUUUUUUUUUUUUUUUUUGAGAUAGCAUUUCACUCUUGUCGCCUAGGCUGGAGUGCAAUGGCGCCAUCUCAGCUCACGGCAGCCUCCUGCUCCCAGGAGAAUCGCUUGAAUCCGGGAGGCAGAGGUUGCAGUGAGCCGAGAUCAUGCCACUGCACUCCAGACUGGGCAACAAGAGCAAAACUCUGCCUCAAAAAAAUAAAAA